rnacentral:rRNA from 1 species
CCUACGGGUGGCAGCAGUGAGGAAUAUUGGUCAAUGGACGAGAGUCUGAACCAGCCAAGCAGCGUGAAGGAUGACUGCCCUAUGGGUUGUAAACUUCUUUUAUAUGGGAAUAAAACGUUCCACGUGUGGGAUUUUGUAUGUACCAUAUGAAUAAGGAUCGGCUAACUCCGUGCCAGCAGCCGCGGUAAUACGGAGGGUCCGAGCGUUAUCCGGAUUUAUUGGGUUUAAAGGGAGCGUAGGUGGAUUGUUAAGUCAGUUGUGAAAGUUUGCGGCUCAACCGUAAAACUGCAGUUGAAACUGGCAGUCUUGAGUACAGUAGAGGUAGGCGGAAUUCGUGGUGUAGCGGUGAAAUGCUUAGAGAUCACGAAGAACUCCGAUUGCGAAGGCAGUUCACUGGACUGCAACUGACACUGAGGCUCGAAAGUGUGGGUAUCAAACAGGAUUAGAUACCCCGGUAGUC